rnacentral:lncRNA from 1 species
CACAACCACAACCCUAAUUUCUUUCCUCACUCACGUCUCCUCCUCUCACUCGUCUCUCAUCACUCCCUCUCUUACAAUAAUCUUUUUCCUUUAAUGGUAGUGGAUACCGCCGUCUCUGGGAGGCACCACCACAAGCAUUUUGUGGUAAUAAUGUCUGUUGUCUUCAACGCUUUCUCAUGCUUCCCCCCCAUUCUCUACCGCAUAGCUGUGCUUCUCCGCCCUAACUACUGGCGGCAUUAUUGGUUCACCUCAACUUCUCUGAUUACAUUCUCAUCUAGCAACUAUAAACCUCCAGCAUCGGUGGUUCUCGUGCGGGCUUGGCAAAACUUAUCUUCCAUGGUCAAAGAAGAUUAAGUAGCUUCUCGUAAGGACAUAAUAAUAAAUUCACAGUUGUACUUUGAUAAAUUGUUAGUUUAUAUGAUAAUUGGAAAAGCAAGAUUGGCAAUCGGAUUUUAUUUAUUUUUAUUAAUUUACUAUUUGUUUGUAGCUGAUGAUUUACAUUUCGAGGGGUAGCUCAAAAUAAUGGAAUAUCCAGACCUAAUAUUGAGAGCGAAGAACAAGCGAACAAUCGUGUUUUGGUUUAUUUAUUUCUUUAAAUUGACGAAAAUCUUUAAUUGUUUUCAAGAUGAUAUUGGUAAUGAAUUCUUGAGUCAAUUGUGUUGUGACUUGUAAGUGUUGGGUGGAUGAAUUGAAAUUAUUGUGGAGAUUCUCUGAAAGCAAAGAACCUAGAAAGGGGCUUUUUACCUUUGCACCUUGAAGUAGACUAUACAAUAAAAUAUAUCUUGCGGACUGUUGUGGUUAUGAUAUUUUGGGAAUUUUUUACUGUGAUUGUUUAGCUACCUGGUAACUAUACAUUUAAUUUUAGUAAUACCUUUGAAUUCCAUGCUACCCUUGAUACGUGGACUACUUUAUAAUGGGGAUGAAGUUAGAAGAAAUGGAGAGCUCCAUGGUUCUGAUCAAGCAAGGUGUUGGAACUGUGAGUUGGUAGUUGUUUAUUUUCCUGGAUUGUUAAGAAUAACUACUGCCUUGUAAGCUUUUGGCUGCUAUAGUUUAUUAUUUUUUUAUUUUUUAAAAUUGUAUUAGACUAUAAUAUAAGAACAAGAAACAGUGAAAAAAAAAAACACUUUCUUGCAGUUUCAUAUUCCUUGGUGAUCAUGCUCUAGCAAUUAGUAAAUAUGGACUAACUUUAUCUCCCUAUGAUUUGUAUCUUAUUUAGAGAGUCUUCGAGUCAAAAUUUGUUGAUAGGAUGUCUAUUGUCAAGGAACACGAGUUAAACUUUUCAUUCAACUAUGCCACUCCGUGUCCACUCGAAACUGAAAGGAUUCAUUGCCAUUUUUCGUUCCCCCAAUCCUGAAGCCUUUGAGUUGAUGAUGACAAGGAAUUAACUUUCUAAAUGUGUGAAAAUAUGCUUGUGGUUACUGAAUAUUCCUAGAACCUACUGUUAUAAUUUAGUUGCUUUAUCCGACAGAUUGCUGCUAGCAAUCAUGCAAUAGCUAUAGCUCUUUCAUUAAUGGAAGCAUAUUCUCUCAGUGUGCAACAUGAACAAACUACAUUACAAAUUCUUCAAGCUCUUUCAUUAUUGGAAGCAUAUUCUCUCAGUGUGCAACAUGAACAAACUACAUUACAAUUCUUCAAGAUAAACUGGGAGCAAAGGAUCUUCGUACUCAAGUAAUUACAAAAUUCUCUCUCAUGGUUUACCUUUACUGGUUUAUAGUAAAUUUCUAUAAACAUCAAGCUACACUUGUACUCUGGUUUUUCUGUUUUGAGCUAUGUCUUGUCCAUGUAGUGGAAGGAGAAGAUAAAGAGUUUUCUUAAGGAAAGUAUACCUUUUGAUACCUUAUUUGAUGCAAGAAAAGAUAGGGAAAGGGAAAGAAUGAGGCUUACAUUACUAAAAGAUAGCAGAGAGUUAUUUAACUAGUAACUCUUCUUCAUGUCAAAGAUAUUUAUGCUCACUAAUAUAAUUUUCCUUCAGGCACUUCUAUGCCCAUUAUUAUGGGAAGUAGCAUCUUUAAAUACAUAAAGGUACUAGCUUUGAUUCACAAAUAGAUGCAUAUCAAUAGGUAAUUAAUUUUGAAGAAUGUUAUAAAAGGGUAACUGAUAUACCAUGUAAUUGGAGGAUGCUAUUGCAUGGCUUGAAUAUUUUCAAUCAAAGGCUUUGGAGCAGCAAGAAGUAGCAUGUAAUGCAACUCCAAAAUCGGAUGCAUCCAUUGCCAGCAAAGGUCACCUGAGGUAUUGAUUUAGCAAACGAUAUGGAGUUCAUUGAACGUUAUAAAUCCCUGUCGUAAUGUGUAUUAAAAGAAGAAGAUUUAAAAGAAAAAGAUUGCAUUACGAUGAAGCAUCAAGUAUCUUUAAGGUGGGAGGCUCUUUUCUAUAUGAAAGAUGCAGGCCAAGAAGAAAGUAACGGGGAGGAUUUUUGAGAGCUAGCCAACCCAACGGUUUGAAAACAGCAAGUUGUAAAUUAUCUUCUUUUAUACAAUAAUUUUCUUUUGUUUAAGAGGAGUGUAAGAUGUUUAUUUGAUGGGCAAUUUGCAAAUAAAAAAUUUUCUUUGAUUUAUUAUAAUGAUGUGUUUUGUCUGUUUGGUAUGGAUAUAAUAAAAUUAUAUCAAUUUUAUGCAAGCCAAAAAAUUCUUUUUUAUUUUGUGGUUGAUUUGGUAAAUAGCUAU